UACGAAGGGGGCUAGCGUUGCUCGGAAUGACUGGGCGUAAAGGGCGCGUAGGCGGAUGGCACAGUCAGAUGUGAAUUCCCGGGCUUAACCUGGGGGCUGCAUUUGAUACGUGUUGUCUAGAGUGAGGAAGAGGGUUGUGGAAUUCCCAGUGUAGAGGUGAAAUUCGUAGAUAUUGGGAAGAACACCCGUGGCGAAGGCGGCUCUCUGGACGGUACUGACGCUGAGACGCGAAAGCGUGGGGAGCGAACAGG
rnacentral:rRNA from 1 species